rnacentral:tRNA from 1 species
UCCUUGGUGGUCCAGUGGCUAAGACUCUGCACUCCCAACGCAGAGGGCCUGGGUUCAGUCCCUGUCAGGGAA